rnacentral:rRNA from 1 species
AGAGUUUGAUCAUGGCUCAGGAUGAACGCUGGCGGCGUGCUUAACACAUGCAAGUCGAGCGAGAAGCUCGUGAACGAUCUUCGGAUGAGUGAUCGAGUGGAAAGCGGCGGACGGGUGAGUAACGCGUAGGCAACCUGCCCCAUACAAAGGGAUAGCUACUGGAAACGGUAAUUAAUACCUCAUAACACGGAGAGACCGCAUGAUCUUUCCGUCAAAGAUUUAUCGGUAUGGGAUGGGCCUGCGUCUGAUUAGCUGGUUGGUGGGGUAACGGCCCACCAAGGCGACGAUCAGUAGCCGACCUGAGAGGGUAAACGGCCACAUUGGAACUGAGACACGGUCCAAACUCCUACGGGAGGCAGCAGUGGGGAAUAUUGCACAAUGGGGGGAACCCUGAUGCAGCAACGCCGCGUGAGCGAAGAAGGCCUUUGGGUCGUAAAGCUCUGUCCUGAAGGAAGAAGGAAGUGACGGUACUUCAGGAGGAAGCCCCGGCUAACUACGUGCCAGCCGCCGC